CCUACGGGAGGCAGCAGUGGGGAAUAUUGCACAAUGGCGGAAACCCUGAUGCAGCGACGCCGCGUGAGUGAAGAAGUAAUUCGUUAUGUAAAGCUCUAUCAGCAGGGAAGAAAAUGACGGUACCUGAGUUACAAUCCCCGUCUAACUACGUGCCAGCUGCCGUGGUAAUACGUCGGGAGCAAGCGUUAUCCGGAUUUACUGGGUGUAAAGGGAGCGUAGGCGGCAGUGCAAGUCUGGAGGGAAAGGCGGGGGCUCAACCCCCGGACGGCUCUGGAAACUGUACGGCUGGAGUGCAGGAGUGGUAAGUGGAAUUCGUGGUGUAGCGGUGAAAUGCGUAGAUAUUAGGAGGAACACCAGUGGCGAAGGCGGCUUACUGGACUGUAACUGACGUUGAGGCUCGAAAGCGUGGGGAGCGAACAGGAUUAGAUACCCCUGUAGUC
rnacentral:rRNA from 1 species